rnacentral:rRNA from 1 species
AGAGUUUGAUCCUGGCUCAGGAUGAACGCUGGCGGCGUGCCUAAUACAUGCAAGUCGAACGCUUUGUGGUUCAACUGAUUUGAAGAGCUUGCUCAGAUAUGACGAUGGACAUUGCAAAGAGUGGCGAACGGGUGAGUAACACGUGGGAAACCUACCUCUUAGCAGGGGAUAACAUUUGGAAACAGAUGCUAAUACCGUAUAACAAUAGCAACCGCAUGGUUGCUACUUAAAAGAUGGUUCUGCUAUCACUAAGAGAUGGUCCCGCGGUGCAUUAGUUAGUUGGUGAGGUAAUGGCUCACCAAGACGAUGAUGCAUAGCCGAGUUGAGAGACUGAUCGGCCACAAUGGGACUGAGACACGGCCCAUACUCCUACGGGAGGCAGCAGUAGGGAAUCUUCCACAAUGGGCGAAAGCCUGAUGGAGCAACGCCGCGUGUGUGAUGAAGGGUUUCGGCUCGUAAAACACUGUUGUAAGAGAAGAAUGACAUUGAGAGUAACUGUUCAAUGUGUGACGGUAUCUUACCAGAAAGGAACGGCUAAAUACGUGCCAGCAGCCGCGGUAAUACGUAUGUUCCAAGCGUUAUCCGGAUUUAUUGGGCGUAAAGCGAGCGCAGACGGUUAUUUAAGUCUGAAGUGAAAGCCCUCAGCUCAACUGAGGAAUUGCUUUGGAAACUGGAUGACUUGAGUGCAGUAGAGGAAAGUGGAACUCCAUGUGUAGCGGUGAAAUGCGUAGAUAUAUGGAAGAACACCAGUGGCGAAGGCGGCUUUCUGGACUGUAACUGACGUUGAGGCUCGAAAGUGUGGGUAGCAAACAGGAUUAGAUACCCUGGUAGUCCACACCGUAAACGAUGAGUGUCUAGGUGUUUGAGGGUUUCCGCCCUUAAGUGCCGCAGCU